rnacentral:rRNA from 1 species
CCUACGGGGGGCAGCAGUGGGGGAUAUUGCACAAUGGAGGAAACUCUGAUGCAGCGACGCCGCGUGAGGGAAGACGGUCUUCGGAUUGUAAACCUCUGUCUUUGGGGAAGAAAAUGACGGUACCCAAAGAGGAAGCUCCGGCUAACUACGUGCCAGCAGCCGCGGUAAUACGUAGGGAGCGAGCGUUGUCCGGAAUUACUGGGUGUAACGGGAGCGUAGGCGGGCGAGAAAGUUGAAUGUUAAACCUACCGGCUCAACUGGUAGUCGCACUCAAAACUGCAGCUCUUGAGUGAAGUAGAGGCAGGCGGAAUUCCUAGUGUAGCGGUGAAAUGCGUAGAUAUUAGGAGGAACACCAGUGGCGAAGGCGGCCUGCUGGGCUUUUACUGACGCUGAGGCUCGAAAGUGUGGGGAGCAAACAGGAUUAGAUACCCGAGUAGUC